rnacentral:rRNA from 1 species
UACGUAGGGCGCAAGCGUUGUCCGGAAUUAUUGGGCGUAAAGAGCUCGUAGGCGGCCUGUUGCGUCCGCUGUGAAAACCCCGGGGCUUAACCCCCGGGCUUGCAGUGGAUACGGGCAGGCUGGAGGCAGGCAGGGGGAGAACGGGAAUUCCCGGUGUAGCGGUGAAAUGCGCAGAUAUCGGGAGGAACGACCGGUGGCGAAGGCGGUUCUCUGGGCCUGUACUGACGCUGAGGAGCGAAAGCGUGGGGAGCGAACAGGAUUGAGAA